UACGAAGGGGGCUAGCGUUGUUCGGAUUUACUGGGCGUAAAGGGCGCGUAGGCGGUGCGAUAAGUCAGGCGUGAAAGCCCCGGGCUCAACCCGGGAAUAGCGCUUGAUACUGUUGCGCUUGAAUCCAGGAGAGGAUGGCGGAAUUCCCAGUGUAGAGGUGAAAUUCGUAGAUAUUGGGAAGAACACCAGUGGCGAAGGCGGCCACUCUGGCC
rnacentral:rRNA from 1 species